CNGACGCUGGCGGCAUGCCUAAUACAUGCAAGUCGAACGAGAUCUUCGGAUCUAGUGGCGCACGGGUGCGUAACGCGUGGGAAUCUGCCCUUGGGUUCGGAAUAACGUUUGGAAACGAACGCUAAUACCGGAUGAUAUCGAAAGAUCAAAGAUUUAUCGCCCAGGGAUGAGCCCGCGUAGGAUUAGCUAGUUGGUGAGGUAAAGGCUCACCAAGGCGACGAUCCUUAGCUGGUCUGAGAGGAUGAUCAGCCACACUGGGACUGAGACACGGCCCAGACUCCUACGGGAGGCAGCAGUAGGGAAUAUUGGACAAUGGGGGCAACCCUGAUCCAGCAAUGCCGCGUGAGUGAUGAAGGCCUUAGGGUUGUAAAGCUCUUUUACCCGGGAUGAUAAUGACAGUACCGGGAGAAUAAGCCCCGGCUAACUCCGUGCCAGCCGCCGCGGUAA
rnacentral:rRNA from 1 species